rnacentral:rRNA from 1 species
CAAUAAGCGGAGGAAAAGAAACCAACAGGGAUUGCCCUAGUAACGGCGAGUGAAGCGGCAACAGCUCAAAUUUGAAAUCUGGCCUCGGCCCGAGUUGUAAUUUGCAGAGGAUGUUUCUGGCGCGGUGCCUUCCGAGUUCCCUGGAACGGGACGCCACAGAGGGUGAGAGCCCCGUAUGGUUGGACACCAAGCCUGUGUGAAACUCCUUCGACGAGUCGAGUAGUUUGGGAAUGCUGCUCUAAAUGGGAGGUAAAUCUCUUCUAAAGCUAAAUACCGGCCAGAGACCGAUAGCGCACAAGUAGAGUGAUCGAAAGAUGAAAAGCACCUUGAAAAGGGGGUUAAACAGUACGUGAAAUUGUUGAAAGGGAAGCGCUCAUGACCAGACUUGUGCCGGGCGGUUCAUCCGGGGUUCUCCCCGGUGCACUCCGCCCGGCUCAGGCCAGCAUCGGUUCUCGUUGGGGGAUAAGAACGGUAGGAACGUGGCCCUCCCUCGGGAGGGUGUUAUAGCCCGCCGUACGAUACCCUGACGGGGACCGAGGUUCGCGCUCCGCAAGGAUGCUGGCGUAAUGGUCAUCAGCGACCCGUCUUGAAACACGGACCAAGGAGUCGUCCAUUAGAGCGAGCGUUUGGGUGUAAAACCCGCACGCGUAAUGAAAGUGAAAUUAGGUGAGAGCUUCGGCGCAUCAUCGACCGAUCCUGAUGUUCUCGGAUGGAUUUGAGUAAGAGUUUUAACGGACGGACCCGAAAGACAGUGAACUAUGCUUGUAUAGGGUGAAGCCAGAGGAAACUCUGGUGGAGGCUCGCAGCGGUUCUGACGUGCAAAUCGAUCGUCAAAUAUGAGCAUGGGGGCGAAAGACUAAUCGAAC